UACAGAGGGUGCAAGCGUUGUCCGGAAUCAUUGGGCGUAAAGAGCGUGUAGGCGGCUCGGUAAGUCCGCUCUGAAAGCCCGGGGCUCAACCCCGGGAGGCGGGCGGAUACUGUCGGGCUAGAGUCCGGAAGAGGCGAGUGGAAUUCCUGGUGUAGCGGUGAAAUGCGCAGAUAUCAGGAGGAACACCAAUGGCGAAGGCAGCUCGCUGGGACGGUACUGACGCUGAGACGCGAAAGCGUGGGGAGCAAACAGG
rnacentral:rRNA from 1 species